GAUCUGGUAGCUCAGUUGGCAGAGCAUCUCCCUUUUAAGGAGAGGGUCCUGGGUUCGAGCCCCCAGCCAGAUCA
rnacentral:tRNA from 1 species